UACAGAGGGGGCAAGCGUUGUUCGGAAUUACUGGGCGUAAAGGGCGCGUAGGCGGCCUGCUAAGUCGAACGUGAAAUCCCUGGGCUCAACCCAGGAACUGCGUCCGAUACUGGUUGGCUUGAAUCCGGGAGAGGGAUGCGGAAUUCUAGGUGUAGCGGUGAAAUGCGUAGAUAUCUGGAGGAACACCGGUGGCGAAGGCGGCAUCCUGGACCGGCAUUGACGCUGAGGCGCGAAAGCCAGGGGAGCAAACGGG
rnacentral:rRNA from 1 species